rnacentral:rRNA from 1 species
AUUGAACGCUGGCGGCGUGCCUAACACAUGCAAGUCGAGCGGCAGCGCGGGAGCAAUCCUGGCGGCGAGCGGCGGACGGGUGAGUAACGCUUGGGAAUCUGCCUGUUAGUGGGGACAACCCGGGAACUCGGGCUAAUACCGCAUACGCACUACGGUGGAAAGCCGGGACCGCAAGGCCUGGCGCUAACAGAUGAGCCCAAGUCGGAUUAGCUAGUUGGUAGGGUAACGGCCUACCAAGGCGACGAUCCGUAACUGGUCUGAGAGGACGACCAGUCACACCGGAACUGAGACACGGUCCGGACUCCUACGGGAGGCAGCAGUGGGGAAUAUUGGACAAUGGGGGAAACCCGUGAUCCAGCGACGCCGCGUGGGUGAAGAAGGCCUGCGGGUUGUAAAGCCCUUUCAGUGGGGAAGAAAGCCUCGACCUAACACGUCGGGGUCUUNACGUAACCCAUAGAAGAAGCACCGGCUAACUCUGUGCCAGCAGCCGCCGUAAC